GAAACGCCCCAUAAUUCAAUUCGCGAAGAUUGUACAUCCGCUAAGAAAAGACAGCGAAAGAUUAAAAACAUCAAUGGAGAAAUCAAUAUACAUCGUCACACAUGUAACAGUGGUUAAUGCGUCUGACCAAGGACUUGGGCAUGUCCUUCGUCGACCAUUUUGACUCCUUCUGGAACAGGCCUGGCUACUUUGGUAGACGGAAUUCACCUGGGUGAAAAUGGCUCCCGGCUGUGGUCAUCAAACAUUGAGUCUCCUGACUUCAAGAAGGGAACAUGGACCAAUUGACUGGGGCCACAGUGAAAUGAACAACUUGUUCUGUUAGACACUAGACACUUUCAUUUUAUUCCAUAGACACUUUUGUUAUCUACAUGUCUGUUCAUAACAGACACUGUUUUACUAUUGUUCCAAAAUAUUUAUAUUCAGAAACAUUUGUAACUACACUGACACAUUUUAAUCCAUAGACGCUUGUUUACAAGUCUGUUCUCAGCAGUUGCUUUUGUCUUGUGGUUUACUUUCAGAAUCAAGAAUAAAGGUUUAUUAAU